GGAAAAUAAACGUGAUGCUUUCUUUCCACCAUUACAUCAAUUUUGUACAAAUCCAAACAACCCUGUUACAGUAAUUCGUGGCCUUGCUGGAGCUCUUAAGUUAGACUUGGGACUUUUCUCUACUAAAACUUUGGUGGAAGCUAACAAUGAACAUAUGGUAGAAGUGAGGACACAGUUGUUACAACCAGCAGAUGAAAAUUGGGACCCUACUGGAACCAAGAAAAUCUGGCACUGUGAAAGCAAUAGAUCUCAUACUACAAUUGCUAAAUAUGCUCAGUACCAGGCCUCCUCGUUCCAAGAAUCAUUGAGAGAAGAAAAUGAGAAAAGAAGUCACCAUAAAGACCACUCGGACAGUGAAUCUACAUCAUCAGAUAA
rnacentral:lncRNA from 1 species